rnacentral:lncRNA from 1 species
GCGUCUCAACAACAACUCAUUGACAGGUACAAUUCCUCUGUCCUUACCUACUGUUAUGACACUGCAAGUGCUGUGAGUGUUGCUAUCAGAAAUUCUUUUUCCAUACCUUAGCUUCAAGUACAAUACAUAAUGGCUUGGAAAAUUAGUACACCAAAUUAUCCGUUGAUUUGCUUCCUUGAUCUCUAGGUUUAAUUCAUAGGAGAAAUGAAGAAAUGUAUAUAUGACACAAACUAGAUUUUCUUAAAAAUACCACCA